rnacentral:rRNA from 1 species
GUACACUCCUACGGGAGGCAGCAGUGGGGAAUUUUGGACAAUGGGCGAAAGCCUGAUCCAGCAAUGCCGCGUGCAGGAUGAAGGCCUUCGGGUUGUAAACUGCUUUUGUACGGAACGAAAAAGCUCCUUCUAAUACAGGGGGCCCAUGACGGUACCGUAAGAAUAAGCACCGGCUAACUACGUGCCAGCAGCCGCGGUAAUACGUAGGGUGCGAGCGUUAAUCGGAAUUACUGGGCGUAAAGCGUGCGCAGGCGGUUAUGUAAGACAGAUGUGAAAUCCCCGGGCUCAACCUGGGAACUGCAUUUGUGACUGCAUGGCUAGAGUACGGUAGAGGGGGAUGGAAUUCCGCGUGUAGCAGUGAAAUGCGUAGAUAUGCGGAGGAACACCGAUGGCGAAGGCAAUCCCCUGGACCUGUACUGACGCUCAUGCACGAAAGCGUGGGGAGCAAACAGGAUUAGAUACCCCUGUAGUCCCAUGAU